rnacentral:sRNA from 1 species
GCCAGGCACGGUGGCCCAUGCCUGUAAUCCUAGCAGCUCAGGAGGCUGAGGCAGGAGAAUCUCAAGUUCAAAGCCAGCCUCAGCAACUUAGCAAGGCCCUAAGUCACUCAGCAAGCCCCUGUCUCUA